rnacentral:rRNA from 1 species
AUUGAACGCUGGCGGCAGGCUUAACACAUGCAAGUCGAACGAGUGGCGGACGGGUGAGUAAUGUAUGGGGAUCUGCCUGAUGGAGGGGGAUAACUACUGGAAACGGUAGCUAAUACCGCAUACCAUCAGAUGAACCCAUAUGGGAUUAGCUUGUAGGUGAGGUAACGGCUCACCUAGGCGACGAUCCCUAGCUGGUCUGAGAGGAUGAACAGCCACACUGUGACUGAGACACGGCCCAGACUCCUACGGGAGGCAGCAGUGGGGAAUUGUGCACAAGGGGCGCAAGCCUGAUGCAGCCAUGCCGCGUGUAGGAAGAAGGCCUUCGGGUUUUAAAGUACUUUCAGUCGGGAGGCGUUACCGACAGAAGAAGCACCGGCUAACGCCGUGCCAGCAGCCGCGGUAAUUC